rnacentral:rRNA from 1 species
GACGAACGCUGGCGGCGUGCUUAACACAUGCAAGUCGAGCGGUAAGGCCCUUUCGGGGGUACACGAGCGGCGAACGGGUGAGUAACACGUGGGUGACCUGCCCUCAGCUCUGGGAUAAGCCUGGGAAACCGGGUCUAAUACUGGAUAUGACUCCAUGACGCAUGUUGUGGGGUGGAAAGCCUUGUGCGGCUGAGGAUGGCCCGCGGCCUAUCAGCUUGUUGGUGGGGUGANGGCCUACCAAGGCGACGACGGGUAGCCGGCCUGAGAGGGCGACCGGCCACACUGGGACUGAGACACGGCCCAGACUCCUACGGGAGGCAGCAGUGGGGAAUCUUGCGCAAUGGGCGAAAGCCUGACGCAGCGACGCCGCGUGAGGGAUGACGGCCU